rnacentral:rRNA from 1 species
UACGAGGGGGGCAAAUGUUGUUCGGAAUCACUGGGCGUAAAGGGAGCGUAGGCGGGCCUCUAAGUUAGAUGUUUAAUCCCGGGGCCCAACCCCGGACAGGCACCUAAAACUGGAAGUCUUGAAUAGUGGAGAGGACGGCGGAAUUGGGGGUGUAGCGGUGGAAUGCGUAGAGAUCCCCAAGAACACCAGUUGCGAAGGCGGCCGUCUGGACACAUAUUGACGCUGAGGUGCGAAAGCGUGGGUAGCAAACAGG